rnacentral:rRNA from 1 species
CCUACGGGGGGCUGCAGUGGGGAAUAUUGCACAAUGGGGGAAACCCUGAUGCAGCGACGCCGCGUGAGUGAAGAAGUAUCUCGGUACGUAAAGCUCUAUCAGCAGGGAAGAAAAUGACGGUACCUGACUAAGAAGCCCCGGCUAACUACGUGCCAGCAGCCGCGGUAAUACGUAGGGGGCAAGCGUUAUCCGGAUUUACUGGGUGUAAAGGGAGCGUAGACGGCAGCACAAGUCUGGAGUGAAAUCCCGGGGCUUAACCCCGGAACUGCUUUGGAAACUGUGCGGCUGGAAUGCAGGAGGGGUAAGCGGAAUUCCUAGUGUAGCGGUGAAAUGCGUAGAUAUUAGGAGGAACACCGGUGGCGAAGGCGGCUUACUGGACUGUAACCGACGUUGAGGCUCGAAAGCGUGGGGAGCAAACAGGAUUAGAUACCCUGGUAGUC